UACUACCAACCCAAAGAAAUACGACCUCUCUGAGAUAUACAGUUUAUGCCGGAAAGGUACGAAGUUGGACUAAUUUGGAAACAUUGGGCAAUUUACUUUAUACCUACUAUUUCGUCUGGUUUUUGGUUUCUAGUCUUAUUUUAUUAGUAGCCAUGAUUGGGGCUAUAGUACUGACUAUGCAUAGGACUACUAAGGUGAAAAGACAGGAUAUAUUUCGACGAAAUGCUAUUGAUUUUAGGAGGACUAUAAUGAGGAGGACGACAG
rnacentral:misc_RNA from 1 species